GUGUUCUAUUAAAGGAGAGAUGGUUGGCAUCUCCCCUGACAGGGUCGGAAACAGCCUUUUGGCUUCUCAGAUAACACAGACGGUUAAGGCUACCCCACCUCUCGUAGGUGGGUCUAACCCAAUUAC